CAAUCGGGCCAAUCGGCAAUGACAUAAACAAACAUUAACAAACCCAAACCCACAGACUGAAAGCUUCCUCUCCGAGUGGAGCGCAACGAUGACAAGCUGGACCACCAAAUCCAAAAAUUUGUCCACGAGGCCCUUGGGCAGAUCUGCUCCAAUCAAAAGUGCCAAAGCCUGCAGAUAGAGAGCAUGCGGAGGUAGCCGACAAGUCCAACAAUUCCCAGUCUACUUCUGGAACAGGACGACUGCCUCGUCCCAAUCAGUUUGCUCCGUUUUUCAAGGCUAGCCUUACCUCCAAUCAAUUUGAAAAACUUCAAUAUCGCAGCACAACCUGGACUAUAUACACAAUCAUGAAGGCUGUGAAUAAUGCCAUGUCUCAGGUGAAUUUCGUCAAGGAAAAGGCUGCUUCUCUUGCCUCAAACCUUAAUAACCCGCUUGAGAACACUGUUGCUGAUCUGCUGAAGAGUACGUGCCAAGACUCGCCAGGGGCUUGGGCAAAAAGCGGAAGCAAGCCUUUGAUAAUUUCUCCAAAAUGGCUUUUAAGAAGUUUAUUAAAGACACGCAACAAAGCCCAAUGGACAGGCUUUCCAAAAAGCAAAUCAGUGCUAUGUGGGCCUCUAUCCCAAAGGACAAACAGUUGCUUUGGGCUGAUGAGGAGGAGGUUAAAAAGCAGUAAAUGAACCUGGAAGUUUGUUCAUACAGUGAGUUUCAUUAGUGGAGACUGAAUGCAAAAAGCAAUAUUUUUAUUUAGUAGAAUUUUACAUUUUCACUCUGAACACAGAAAAUAGAUAAGACCACAGACUGUCUGGAUAAGAAAAUCCUGUAAAAUGUAUCUCAUAUAGUCUAACUGACUGCUGGAAAAGUAUAAGCUACUUUUAUGAUGUUCCUGAACUGAAAAAUAUCCAAAAUACAAAAAUUUUUAUAAUAUUUAAAGAAGAAAAAAUGGCACAUUAAAUUCAAUUAUUCUAAUUUAAUUUGCAACAUGUCACAAAGGUGCGGAAAAGGAUAUUUUGAUAGGUACCGUGUGUACUUACUCGUCUUGUUGUUGCAACACGAGGAGACGAUAGUUUUUUUCCCUGAAAUUAGAGGACCUUAAUUUUCUUUAAGUUCUCUGUAUUUUUAAAAAGCCAUACAUUCCAUUACCUAAUUUUUUUCCCCCAAAAAAACUAUCGUCUCAUCUUUCGUUUGUUGCAACAACAAGACGAGUAAGUACACACGGCACCUAUCAAAAUUUCCUUUUCCGCACCUCUGUGUGUAUUGCGGAUUCAAUUAGAAUAAUUGAAUUUAAUGUGUCAUUUUUUCAUUUUUUUUUUAUAUUUUAAAUUUUUUUUUCCUAAAUAGAACAAAUUUAUGUUGCAAAUUAAAAAGUCCUUCUUGAACUUGUCUUGGGCGCUGCGCUCGUCAGGUGAAAUGCUGGCAAAAGGUGUCUGCACUGCUAGACUAUCAAAAGUUGGAUUUGACUUCUUGUCCUAAAUACCCACAAUUUUAAAUUUUUUUUUUUUUUAAUAAAAUAAAAGUAUUUUUACCAUGGGGACUGAAUCACGACUCUGGUUUGUAAUAAGUCUCAGCAGAGUAGAUUCGACUACCGCCUUGUCCAGAUGCUCGGUGUCCUGGGCAGGUAAAAUGAUGUCGAAAGGUGUCUUAGUCACUCGAUCAUUUAAGUCAAUUUCCAUUUCGGAGCCAGUUUCAUCCUUAAAGAGAUUUAUGUAAAAGAUUUUGGGUUAAACAACUAAGGGACUCAUUUUAAAUUAAUAUUAAAGGUUCAGUGGUUUCGGGUCAAAUUAUCAGCGAAAAGAUUCUCUCAAAAUUUCUUUCACGGUACGAUUCACUCUCAGAGCUAUAUAAUAUAUUCUGGGCCCUAAACUUGUUUCGCCUGAAGGCCCUGAAGUGUGUACAAAAUAUGUGCAUAUAAUUUCUGAAGAAACGGGUUGCUAAUUAUUGGGCCACAAUUGUAAUUUUGAUAAUUCUUCAUAUAUAUUACAUAUAUAAUUUUAUAUAUAUUUUUUUUGAUAAUGUGACCCAAAAAGGAUACAGAGACUCAUUUAAAAGCUAGAUAUUUUUUGCUAACAAUAUUAUUUUAAUUCCUAUUAUGACUAUACCUCGAGUUUGAAUUUUCCUGCCAAAAAUUCUUCAAGAAUUCUUGCCACCCUUUCUUCGCACUUGUCGAUGCAGCUAUCAGGCUACCUGCAAGUCGAUGGUCCAGCAUCAGCAGACGGUGAUGUAGAGGUUUGAAUUGCGAAGAUUCCAUUUUCUCAUCCGGAUCCAAGAUCAACUUGCUCGACUGGAUUCCCAUCAAAAAUUUCCAAGAACACUCGAGUCUAUGAAAUUUUUAAGAACUUGUUUACUACAAUGCUAUUUAUGAUUUAAUUGUUGCGAAGAACUUUUUUUCAAAAUGAAUUUAACGGAAAAACAUAGGGCGGAUGCAAAUUAAGUCUGAUGUCUUGUUUAUAAACGGUGGGCGUUACCGUUUCGUUUUCGAAUCGUGUCUCGUUCUGAUAAGCAAAUUUCUCAAAAUACUUUGAUUAAUCGUCCCUAAACGAAUAGAAAUUACACAAUAUUUCAUCGUUAGGCCUUUUAGAGGGUGAAACUACGCGCGACGUGUUUUUUCAUAGGUUGGCAACACUUAUGCUCCCAUGUAAAAGUAUCACGUCGCGCGCUCUAUACUGGAGACCUGACCCUAAGCCACGGUUUCUUCGACAAAAACCUGACCCCUUCUCACUGUGGUGCUGGACUGAUCUCAAGCGAUGGUCGCACUGCUGUGCUUUCAAUGGUCGAGGAAGUUAAGUCAGCUGCUGCCUCCUUUCAAAUGAGUGACAAAGUUCUCAAGGCUGAGCACAAGCCUAAGGAAAUAGAUGACUAUAUACACAGUGACCAGCCUUCAAUGGAAGGACCAUAUUAAAGAGGCAAUUAUGGAGGCCCUUUGCAAAGCUGACCCCAGGACAUCCCAGAAUUUCUUGGACAAAAACCUGACCCCUUCUCACUCUGGCUCUUCGCUGGACUGAUUUCAAGCCAUCCUCUUGUCUCAACGUUUGGAGGUUUUUAGAGGCUUCGCAGACAAAGUCAAUGCUAAGCAAAACCCAAGAUAUUUCCAAGCCAAGGAUGGAGCCUUAUCAGAAUUAAGUCUGCUCUAGUAAGCAUCGAGACGAAGAACACCAUAAGUCAAAUGAUUCAGGAAGUGCUCUCAACAUUGGCAAGUGAACAAGCCCUCGAGGAUUCCAGUGAAGUGAUGUCUGUUGUGGUAAUUACCUUAAUUAAAAUUUAUUAUCUAAAAUUUUGAUCAAAUUUAUUUAAAUUUCCCAUGUGAUCAAAAUCAUCUGUGUCAUGUUUAGGCUAGCAUUGCCUCUAACAAAUUGGAAAUAUGUUGAAUAAAUCACACAACCUGGAGUCCAAAAUUAUGGAGGCUGUUAAUAAUAUCAUGUCCCUGGUUAAUUUGGACAAUGUUUAAUAUCAUUCUCAAAUAUAUGCGCAAAUGAAAUUAUUUUAUCCUCUUUGCCUUAAUGAUUUAAAAGUUAAUGCUCUUCGUUAAAUUAUUUUAUGUUAAUUAGCAGAUGUCUGUCAAUAAUCCAAUUGAACUUUGGCAGAUUCAAAAUACUGAUACUGUAUUUAAUUAAAAUUGAUAAUGUUUCUUUAACUGAAAAAUGUCAAAAAUACUAAAAAAAAGGAAACACUACCUGAGCAUGGAGUUUGGUUCAAAUUUUCAUAUGUUAAGAAGCUAAAAUAAAUAAAAAUACCUGAAUUUACA